rnacentral:rRNA from 1 species
AGCGAACGCUGGCGGCAGGCUUAACACAUGCAAGUCGAGCGGGCAUAGCAAUAUGUCAGCGGCAGACGGGUGAGUAACGCGUGGGAACGUACCAUUUGGUUCGGAACAACUGAGGGAAACUUCAGCUAAUACCGGAUAAGCCCUUACGGGGAAAGAUUUAUCGCCGAAAGAUCGGCCCGCGUCUGAUUAGCUAGUUGGUGAGGUAAUGGCUCACCAAGGGGACGAUCAGUAGCUGGUCUGAGAGGAUGAGCAGCCACAUUGGGACUGAGACACGGCCCGAACGCCACCGGGAGGCAGCAGUGGGGAAUAUUGGACAAUGGGCGCAGGCCUGAUCCAGCCAUGCCGCGUGAGUGAUGAAGGCCCUAGGGUUGUAAAGCUCUUUUGUGCGGGAAGAUAAUGACGGUACCGCAAGAAUAAGCCCCGGCUAACUUCGUGCCAGCCGCCGCAGUAA